rnacentral:lncRNA from 10 species
AUUAAAACUAGUGAAUUUUUUUUGUCCUACUUAGGAGUUACUUGGUUUCAACCUGCUGACGGGUACUGGGGUUUUAAUUGCAAUUUGUUUGUGAUUCCUGGCAGAGGAAGUCUAAACCCUUGCUACUCCAGGCGUGGCCCUUGAACCAGCAGCCUCACAUAGAAGCCCAUUGGAAAUGCAGGUUCUCGGGCCCUGUCCCAACCUGCUGAAUCGGGAUCUUUGUUUUAGUAUUUUUCUCAGAUAGAAUUUGAGAGGCACUGAACCGUGUAGUUUGGGCGGUGGAAAAUUCUCUCAGCAUGUCAGCAAAGAGGUAAAGAGAGAAGGGCCAUUAUCUUUCUUCAAGGGGAGUGUGUGAUGAUGGCCAAAUGAACGGAAGGAUAGGAGGCCAGCAGAAGCCCAGAGCAAGACCAGGCAAGGAGAGAGUGGGCAUUUCUCAUUCCUGUCUGACCGGCUCUACUUUCUCACUUCCAGUCAUCUGCUCUUCCUUGGAGGACACACCUCCCCCAGGCCAGGUGGUCAGGGUGAGGUUAUCAGUCACAGUCCCCUUCCUACCAAGACUCAGUCCCAGGAAGGGCCACUGGAUUGUGUGAAGACUGUGAGCUGUGUCCACUGCAUUUCUCCAGCCCAUGCAACCCGGCAUCACGAGGAAGGGGGUAUGGGGUCCAAGCUGCCACAGUGAGACCCAGGAAAGGAAAGACGAACCUCUUUUCCAAGGAGACACCUGCACAAUAGCCAGGUGACGGCCCAGAAACCUCUGUUAACACCUGCUUGCCAGUGGUCCCGCCGUGGGGAGCAAGCCUGCCUCCCCUCACCAAGGCGGGAUUCAUGCUGCUGGUACAGUGUCCGGGGGACUCCCGCCCGGCCCUCCCAGCUGCCAGGAGGCGGUGCCCGCCCACGCCAGCUGCCAGGCUGGCCUCUCCGUGCUCCAGAGCCGCACAGCUCUGAACAGCGGCAGCAGGUGGGAGCCCCACCGGGGAACGCAAUGAAACUCACAGCCGUAAACGAGUUUAUUAUUGUUGUUAACUGGGGAAAUAAAUGUCUCAAGCA